rnacentral:rRNA from 1 species
AUUGAACGCUGGCGGCAGGCCUAACACAUGCAAGUCGAACGAGUGGCGGACGGGUGAGUAAUGUCUGGGAAACUGCCUGAUGGAGGGGGCUAACUACUGGAAACGUUAGCUAAUACCGCAUACCAUCGGAUGUGCCCAGAUGGGAUUAGCUAGUAGGUGGGGUAAAGGCUCACAUAGGCGACGAUCCCUAGCUGGUCUGAGAGGCUGACCGGCCACACUGGAACUGUGACACGGUCCAGACUCCUACGGGAGGCAGCAGUAGGGAAUCUUGCACAAUGGGCGAAAGGCUGAUGCAGCCAUGCCGCGUGUGUGAAGAAGGCCUGCGGGUUGUAAAGUACUUUCAGCAGGGAAGCGUUACCCGAACAAAAAGCAACGGCUAACUACGUGCCAGCAGCCGCGGUAAUAC